rnacentral:rRNA from 2 species
AUUGAACGCUGGCGGCAGGCUUAACACAUGCAAGUCGAGCGGGGGAAGGUAGCUUGCUACCGGACCUAGCGGCGGACGGGUGAGUAAUGCUUAGGAAUCUGCCUAUUAGUGGGGGACAACAUCUCGAAAGGGAUGCUAAUACCGCAUACGUCCUACGGGAGAAAGCAGGGGAUCUUCGGACCUUGCGCUAAUAGAUGAGCCUAAGUCGGAUUAGCUAGUUGGUGGGGUAAAGGCCUACCAAGGCGACGAUCUGUAGCGGGUCUGAGAGGAUGAUCCGCCACACUGGGACUGAGACACGGCCCAGACUCCUACGGGAGGCAGCAGUGGGGAAUAUUGGACAAUGGGGGGAACCCUGAUCCAGCCAUGCCGCGUGUGUGAAGAAGGCCUUAUGGUUGUAAAGCACUUUAAGCGAGGAGGAGGCUACUUUAGUUAAUACCUAGAGAUAGUGGACGUUACUCGCAGAAUAAGCACCGGCUAACUCUGUGCCAGCAGCCGCGGUAAUACAGAGGGUGCGAGCGUUAAUCGGAUUUACUGGGCGUAAAGCGUGCGUAGGCGGCUUAUUAAGUCGGAUGUGAAAUCCCCGAGCUUAACUUG